rnacentral:rRNA from 1 species
ACGGGUGAGUAACACGUGAGCAACCUGCCCCUGACUCUGGGAUAAGCCCGGGAAACUGGGUCUAAUACCGGAUAUGACACCUUCUCGCAUGGGUUGGUGUGGAAAGUUUUUCGGUCAGGGAUGGGCUCGCGGCCUAUCAGCUUGUUGGUGGGGUAGUGGCCCACCAAGGCGACGACGGGUAGCCGGCCUGAGAGGGCGACCGGCCACACUGGGACUGAGACACGGCCCAGACUCCUACGGGAGGCAGCAGUGGGGAAUAUUGCACAAUGGGGGAAACCCUGAUGCAGCGACGCCGCGUGCGGGAUGACGGCCUUCGGGUUGUAAACCGCUUUCAGCAGGGACGAAUCAAGACGGUACCUGCAGAAGAAGCGCCGGCUAACUACGUGCCAGCAGCCGCGGUAAUACGUAGGGCGCAAGCGUUGUCCGGAAUUAUUGGGCGUAAAGAGCUCGUAGGCGGCUUGUCGCGUCGGGUGUGAAAGCCCACGGCUUAACCGUGGGUCUGCAUCCGAUACGGGCAGGCUAGAGGCAGGUAGGGGAGAACGGAAUUCCCGGUGUAGCGGUGAAAUGCGCAGA